UAUUUUUCCCGACAAUGAUUUUCAGUUUAACUUUUCCAACUCUGCUGGACCUCAAAACGACGCCGUUUUCUCUUCUCCUCCCAAAUUCCUCAAUUUCUGAAAAUAAAUAUCUAGAUCAAUUCGAAAUGAACAGUUCGAAAAUCCUCCACUUGGAUUAUUGAUCGAAGAUGUGAUUUACUCAAUUUUGAUUCUUUUCCUUUUCCUAUAGACUGAUUGAUAGAUCCACUUGCAUCACUCAAAGAUACAUUGACCAAGGUCUGGAGCAUAAAUAGACAUGGGUGCCUCAAAGAAAUGGAUCAAAGCGUUGAUUGGUUUCAAGAAUCAGGAGAAAUCUCAAUGUUGGGAGAAAGAUGAAAAU